CACCGGGUAUAGAGUAAGAGUUGAGCUUGAUCCUGGAAUCAUGGAAACAGGGCUCCGUGAUGUUUUGGGUUGACGGGUGAGUAACACGUGGGUAACCUGCCUGUAAGACUGGGAUAACUCCGGGAAACCGGGGCUAAUACCGGAUGGUUGUUUGAACCGCAUGGUUCAGACAUAAAAGGUGGCUUCGGCUACCACUUACAGAUGGACCCGCGGCGCAUUAGCUAGUUGGUGAGGUAACGGCUCACCAAGGCGACGAUGCGUAGCCGACCUGAGAGGGUGAUCGGCCACACUGGGACUGAGACACGGCCCAGACUCCUACGGGAGGCAGCAGUAGGGAAUCUUCCGCAAUGGACGAAAGUCUGACGGAGCAACGCCGCGUGAGUGAUGAAGGUUUUCGGAUCGUAAAGCUCUGUUGUUAGGGAAGAACAAGUGCCGUUCAAAUAGGGCGGCACCUUGACGGUACCUAACCAGAAAGCCACGGCUAACUACGUGCCAGCAGCCGCGGUAAUACGUAGGUGGCAAGCGUUGUCCGGAAUUAUUGGGCGUAAAGGGCUCGCAGGCGGUUUCUUAAGUCUGAUGUGAAAGCCCCCGGCUCAACCGGGGAGGGUCAUUGGAAACUGGGGAACUUGAGUGCAGAAGAGGAGAGUGGAAUUCCACGUGUAGCGGUGAAAUGCGUAGAGAUGUGGAGGAACACCAGUGGCGAAGGCGACUCUCUGGUCUGUAACUGACGCUGAGGAGCGAAAGCGUGGGGAGCGAACAGGAUUAGAUACCCUGGUAGUCCACGCCGUAAACGAUGAGUGCUAAGUGUUAUGGGGUUUCCGCCCCUUAGUGCUGCAGCUAACGCAUUAAGCACUCCGCCUGGGGAGUACGGGUCGCAAGAACUGGAAACU
rnacentral:rRNA from 1 species